GGGCUUUAAAUCCGGCAGCGCCCGCUCUAUAUUGCAUCCUGUCCUUCGGGACUAUGGACAUAAACGCGCUCGUAAUAAGCGGAUCGGACCCGGGGGCGGUACCCGGCGGCUCCACCAAACAUCCUUCAUUUGGGGAUCAUGGGGCCGAAACAGGAUCGACGAACGUCUAAAGGGGUUUUGCCUUGUCCCGGCUGUCUGCCACCGUUACCGGCGAAAAAAGUACAAUUGCAAAUGACAAUCGUGCUCCGGUUGCCGUUGCUGCGUAAGCAGUAACAAGACCGAAACUUAAGCCCUUGCGCCUAGCAGCGUAAGGCGGGGUUCGCAGGCACCUGGCAACAGAAGCCUGCACU
rnacentral:tmRNA from 1 species